AGGUGCGCGGGCUCGGGGUGGCUAGGUCCGGGGCCGCGUCACUCCGGGACUGCGCUCUCGGGAGCGCCUCGGCCGGGGAUAGUGGCCCUGCGACUUCCCACCCCCCCGGGGGCAGAGUGACCAGAGCUGCCUGGAGCGUCCCACUCGAGUUAGCGGCCCCGCGCGGGCAGCGCGCCCCGGGCUCUCCCGCCUGUCCUGGGUUUAUACAUUGUCUACACUAUGGUUCUGUGCAAAGUGCCACUCUCCAAACAGAGAGGGAACUGGGUGGAAGACACUGCUCCCCAGGCCAUGUAUGCCCAGAGCACUGACACCAUUCGGCAUCUCUGCUUGUACCUUGGACAAUGGGCACAUUCCAGAAAAAAAGCGUUAGACAUUUCCGAUGAGACGCCUGCCGUACAAAGGGGCCUCUUAGCAAGUGGCUGGAGCAAACACACGCUGCUGUUCCGAGCUAGCUCCCUGCAGCGCUGCAACUCCUGGGGCUACAUAUUCCAGCUCCGCGGGGAGAGUCUGUGUCGGCCCCUGGCGUUGCACACCACUUCACACUCAACGCCAUCAGGAGCAACUGAACCACGUCUCCCACUUGUUGGUGUCUGGAGCCUUGAUUGCUUGUUGGUCCUGUCUCUGUUUUGUACGUA
rnacentral:lncRNA from 1 species